rnacentral:rRNA from 1 species
UGCGUAACACGUAUACAAUCUACCUUUAACAGGGGAUAGCCUUUCGAAAGAGAGAUUAAUACCCCAUAAUAAAUUGAAUGGCAUCAUUUGAUUUUGAAAGCUCCGGCGGUUAAAGAUGAGUAUGCGUCUGAUUAGCUAGUUGGUGAGGUAACGGCUCACCAAGGCAACGAUCAGUAGGGGAUCUGAGAGGACUACCCCCCACACUGGUACUGAGACACGGACCAG